GCCGGGGUGCCCGAGCGGCCCAAGGGGGUGGCCUGGAGAGCCACUCCCCCUAACGGGGGGCGCGGGUUCGAAUCCCGCCCCCGGCGCCA
rnacentral:tRNA from 2 species